rnacentral:rRNA from 1 species
GACGAACGCUGGCGGCGUGCCUAAUACAUGCAAGUCGAACGCAGUGGGGACGGGUGAGUAACACGUGGGUAACCUCCCAUCAGAGGGGAUAACACUUGGAAACAGGUGCUAAACCGAUACUGAUGGAUGGACCCGCGGUGCAUUAGCUAGUUGGUGAGGGAACGGCUCACCAAGGCCACGAUGCAUAGCCGACCUGUGAGGGUGCUCGGCCGCACUGGGACUGAGACACGGCCCAGACUCCGACGGGAGGCAGCAGUAGGGAAUCUUCGGCAAUGGACGAACGUGUGACAGAGCAACUCCGCGUGAGUGAAGAAGGUUUUCGGAUCGUAGAACUAUGUUGUUAGAGAAGCGGUAUCUAACCAGAAAGCCACGGCUCACUACGUGCCAGCAGCCGCGGUAAUUC